GAUGAACGCUAGCUACAGGCUUAACACAUGCAAGUCGAGGGGUAACGAGAGGAAAGCUUGCUUUCCUUGUCGACGACCGGCGCACGGGUGAGUAACGCGUAUCCAACCUGCCCCCAACUAGGGAAUAACCUUGCGAAAGUAAGACUAAUACCCUAUAAUUUCCUCAGAUGACAUCUGACGAGGAAUAAAGAUUUAUCGGUUGUGGAUGGGGAUGUGUCUGAUUAGCUUGUUGGCGGGGUAACGGCCCACCAAGGCAACGAUCAGUAGGGGUUCUGAGAGGAAGGUCCCCCACAUUGGAACUGAGACACGGUCCAAACUCCUACGGGAGGCAGCAGUGAGGGAUAUUGGUCAAUGGGCGAAAGCCUGAACCAGCCAAGUAGCGUGCAGGAUGACGGCCCUAUGGGUUGUAAACUGCCUUUAUACAGGAAUAAAGUUAGCCACGUGUGGUUAUUUGUAGGUACUGUAUGAAUAAGGACCGGCUAAUUCCGUGCCAGCCGCCGCUGUAA
rnacentral:rRNA from 1 species